UAAACGUUGGGCACUAGGUGUGGGGAACAUUCCACGUUUUCCGCGCCGUAGCUAACGCAUUAAGUGCCCCGCCUGGGGAGUACGGCCGCAAGGCUAAAACUCAAAGGAAUUGACGGGGGCCCGCACAAGCGGCGGAGCAUGCGGAUUAAUUCGAUGCAACGCGAAGAACCUUACCAAGGCUUGACAUACACCGGACCGGGCCAGAGAUGGUCUUUCCCCCUUGUGGGGCUGGUGUACAGGUGGUGCAUGGUUGUCGUCAGCUCGUGUCGUGAGAUGUUGGGUUAAGUCCCGCAACGAGCGCAACCCUCGUUCUAUGUUGCCAGCACGUGAUGGUGGGGACUCAUAGGAGACUGCCGGGGUCAACUCGGAGGAAGGUGGGGAUGACGUCAAAUCAUCAUGCCCCUUAUGUCUUGGGCUUCACGCAUGCUACAAUGGCCAGUACAAUGGGUUGCGAUGCCGCGAGGUGGAGCUAAUCCCAAAAAGCUGGUCUCAGUUCGGAUCGUGGUCUGCAACUCGACCACGUGAAGUCGGAGUCGCUAGUAAUCGCAGAUCAGCAACGCUGCGGUGAAUACGUUCCCGGGCCUUGUACACACCGCC
rnacentral:rRNA from 1 species